CUGUUGUUAUGGUUGCCACCGGAAAAGGUGCUUCUCUAGGUGUUCUUAACAAAGGUGGCAAUGCACUUAGAAAGCUCACAAGGACCCAGAGCUUGAGAGAUUGCUGCUAUGAAGAGAGAGGUUGAGAAGCGUGAAGUGCUUAAGAGGCAAGGUCAUGGUGAAUACAGGGAAAUAAUUGAAGGAGACUUCCUAGCGGAGGUCACUCGCUGCAAGAUCAUGGAUAAGCAUUUGAAGGCACUUGCGCCGGUCUAUU